rnacentral:rRNA from 1 species
UACGUAGGGUGCAAGCGUUGUCCGGAAUUAUUGGGCGUAAAGAGCUCGUAGGCGGUCUGUCGCGUCGGCUGUGAAACCCCGAGGCUCAACCUCGGGCCUGCAGUCGAUACGGGCAGACUAGAGUUCGGUAGGGGAGACUGGAAUUCCUGGUGUAGCGGUGAAAUGCGCAGAUAUCAGGAGGAACACCGGUGGCGAAGGCGGGUCUCUGGGCCGAAACUGACGCUGAGGCACGAAAGCGUGGGGAGCAAACAGG